GCCCGGGUGGUGGAAUAGGCAGACACAAGGGACUUAAAAUCCCUUGCCUGAAAGGGCGUACGAGUUCGACCCUCGUCCCGGGCACCA
rnacentral:tRNA from 1 species